rnacentral:lncRNA from 1 species
AAAAAUACAAAUGCCCUAGAGCUAGCUUCGGAGAUUGGCCAAAGUCCAUCAUAAUCCACUGCCGGAUCGAGAGGAGACCCGAGACCCCUAGAAAGAAGACCAGCAAGCAGGUCGCGCGAGCCCAAUAGACCACCAAGGGAGAUGUGCGCGCGGCCGGCUACUAGUGAGAUGUGCCUCCAUCAUAGCACACCAUGUGAUGCGGGAGGAGCCUGCUGUUCCGCCUCUCAUCCCCCUACUUCUUCCAAGAUGCAAUCAUGCUGCCCCAAGCUCCUCGGGCCCUCGGCCGCCAUGAUUGCCUCACCGCCUCUCAAGAGUCGCCUCCACCUACUUCCAAGAGGAAGAGGCCGGAGAAGCUAUAGUCCGUGAAGAAAUCAAGCGGAGGGGCGGCGGUGUAGGAGGGGCCGGCGGAGGAGAGAGAGGGCCGGGGGAGGUGACAGAAAGCUAGAGAGAGAUGCAUGAUGGAGCAUGAUGAUGGCGUGGUUGAUCUCUUCGAUCUAGCACUUCUAUCAUUCGAGUCAAGAAGCCAUCAUCAGAUCGGUGCAGUCCUCCCUCCUCCUCCUCCUCCUCCUCCUUCCAGCUCCUCUUUAUCAGCUUCUCUGUAACGCUGCGCCGCCAUGGCUUUGGGGGAAUCAAGCGCCUUGGUCCGAAGAAAUCCGUCUUCUUUUCCUAGCUAGGAUCUACGUACUUGUGCAAGAGUAUGUCAUGCAUGCUACGCUAUAUGUUAUUCCUACAUGUUCUUGGUCGAUCUGUCGCUACAUAUGGUUUGUGCAGACAUCAAUACUCGUCUGUCUUUGAUUGAUUUGUUUUGACACCACUCUUUGAUCCGGAGUUUGGUUCAUGUAAUACUAUUUCAUUAGAUAUGAAAAGAAGAAGCAAAGCUAAA